rnacentral:lncRNA from 1 species
GCACUGCAAAUGCCAAGUUGGUAGGGUAUUGAACUUUGAACCUGAAUCUUAAACUGUGUCCAUAGCUAGAAAUUGCUGCUAAUUUACUGAUGCUCUUCACUGAACUUAGAUCAGACACCAUAAUGGUGAUAAUGAUUCCUGAGAGUGAGUACAGAUAAAUAAACUGAUACUUAUUGACCCUAGAAGAAUUUGAACUCAUUCCUCAUCCACCACUCGCAUAACAGUAAUUAUGUCUUGGUAAUUGACCUCAUGUCAGCACUUGAUUUAUUGAUACCUGAGGAAUGGGGGAAGAGUGGACCCCUGUAAUAUUUGAAUCCAAAUAGGAAAAUUUUAUUAAAUCCCACAAGGCAUUUUCCCCCUUUCCUAAUAAUUCUUUCUAAUUUUAGUACCAGGCCAGUAAUUUAUAAGGGAAGGAGCAAGUUGAUUACUUUGACCCCUAUACUUGACUGGCAGUUUAUUUUACUUACUCUGAAAGGAUGAAAGGUAAAGUUGACAUUGAUGAGAUUUGAACUCAGAACAAAAAAAGUCAUUAGAAAUGCUGCUAUACAUUUUGAUCGAUGCACUUAAUGAUUCUGUCAGCUUGCUGCUGCCUUUGUCUCUUUUAUAUUAAUAAUUGUUUCUUAAAUAAAUACAAGACCAGAAAUUUGUGUGGAGGUGGGGACAGUUGAUUAUACCAGCCCAUUUGUGUACUUAAAACUUUUUUUUUAUUGAUCUCAGAAGGAUGAAAAGCAAAGUUGACUUCAGCAGAAUUUGAACUCAAAACAUAAGAGACAGACAAAAUGCUGCAAGAUAUUUUAUCCACAAUGCUCUAAUAGUAAUGAUAAUCAUUUGUAAUCUAAGUACGAGGCCACAGCUGGAAGAUUAUAUCAGUCCAAUACUUCAUUGUUAAAUUAUCCUUGAUGCUUUGAGUAGAUGCAGUUAAUUGCUGGUACUUUAUCAUCUCUGAUGCAUUUUGUACUGUGCUUUACUGAUUCAGUUAUGAUUCAUUCUUUCAAGGGAUAAAUAUUAUUAACCCUUUUCCUUUACUAUAUUUUUGUUCAAAUACACUGCUUUUGUUCCAAUUACUUUUUAAAAUAAUGAAUUUAGUAAAAUAAAAUAAUUUUGUCAUUAUUAAGUUGUUGUUUAGAAUAUAAACAUGAAAUUUUGAUAUAAGGUUUUAAUUUAGCUCACUUUAAAAUAGGAAGUUUGUCUCAUGGAACAAAGGUCAGUCUCAGUAGAGUGACAGACUGUCUUAUGGUAUUUUAAUUACAUUCUUUUACUGUCUGAGUUCAAAUCCUCUCAAAGUCAGUUUUGCUUUGCAUCCUUCUGGAGAUCAAUAAAACCAAUAAUGAACUAAAUUGAUUUGAUUGACCACCUCAUCUCGUGUUGCCUUUUACUUAAUAUUGUGGUCACAUCUAAUCCAUGCCAGCAUGGACAACAGAUAUUAAAUGACGUUUGGCCAAUACUUUGAAAUAUUUACUCACAAGUUGGACUCCUGCCUUGCUUCCAAACCAUUUUCCAUCCUUUUGGGACUGAUAAAAUAAAAUAGCAGCAAAAUAUUGUGGUUUAAUAUAAUCAACAAUAACUUCCCACAAAAUGUGUUGUUCCUGUGUGACUUAUAUCAGAAAUUAUUUUUGAUGUCUUAUGUUCUGAGUUCAAAUCCUGCCAUGGUCAACUUUGCCUUUCAUCCUUUUGAGGUUGAUAAAAUAAAGUAUCAAUUAAGUACGGGGACCAUUCAAUGUUAACAGACAUGCUGGCCUUAGGCUUAAAUGAGAAACAAAUGUUAUCAUCACUAUCAAGAUGGUGGAUCAGCAGAAUCAUUAGAGAGCGCUGAACAAAACACCUUGCAGUAUUUGUUCAGCUUUUAUAUGUUCCGAGUUCAAAUCCUGCUGAGGUCAACUUUGCCUUUCAUCCUUCUGGGGUCAUCAAAGUAAGUACUAGUCAAGAACUAGGGAUGUAUUUAAUUAACAGCCACUUGUUUUCAAAAUUGCUGUCCACGUAUCUGAAUUAGAAAUUAUUUUUAUUCUAAUAAUCUUUUUUACUUCUCUUAUAUCCUUAUGUAUCAUUUUGGAAAUCUCUAGGUGUGUUUUGGCAAUAUGUGAGACUAAAUACAUUAGAGAAGCUGAUUUGGUAGCUAAACUCAUCUUGCUUCAAUACUAAGAUAUCAAUUUUUAACAUUGAAACCGGACCACAGUGGAUUAAAUUGACCCUAGUACUUGAUUAACAUCAAUUCUGUGAAUGAAAUACAAAGUUACCCUCAGUGGGAAUUGAUGUCAGAAUGUAAAGAGGCUUUUAAAUGGUGCAAGGUCUGGUGCCCUUAUGAUUCUGUCAAUCUACUACAUUAACAAUAGCUAAGAUAUCAAUUUGGUUCUUCAUUUUUCAGUAUGCCAAACUAAAUACCUGCAAUAUAUUAUGGUCAAUUCAACUGACUUCACCUCUUUUACCAAAAAACAAAACAAACUAUUGUCUGAAAAAAAUUAACAAAAAUAUAAUAAUGCAAACAACCAAGGUUUUGAUACGGAUGAUCAUCUCUCUUGUCAACAAAAUUAACAAAUAAUGACAUUUUAAAUAAACAGAAAUAUAAAAGAAAAAAGACACAUUGAUAUUGAGUGAAAAUCAGUUUUGUAAUAAAGAA